AUUACUGCAGUGGCUGACUGAUAAAUAAUUAUCUAUAUUAUUUCUUGGACUAAUUUGAUGACUAAACAUCCUAUUAUGAGCUAAUGUUUUCUUUGCAAAUAGCAAACGUAUAAUUGGAGCAGUAAUGCCAUGAGAGCAGCUAACUUGCUUACCUGAGGAGGACCUGUAUUUCGGGAGCAGCUGGGCUGGCUGGCUGGGCAGCGAGGUAGUGGGAGGCACACCUGGAACCCGAGGGUCUGAGCGGAGAGAGGGACACGUUUGCUGGAUGAUCAAUACUGGCCAUUCCCUCCCACAUGCGCACUGUUUCCCUGUGAGACUGAUCUGGCUGUUUUACAGACCAGUACUCCAGGUGUCUCAGUUCCUGUCAUACAACAUUCCCGCUCUGCAUCAUUUUAUUCCUCCUUAUGCUAUCCCUUCUCACUGUAUUAUGCCAGUUCUCCUUAAAGGCCUUUUGCAAAAUGUUUUCAUGUUGUUCUUUUUCUUCACAGCUUCUUGCUGGCCAAAUUCUUUUAAUGUCUUCUGUGACAAUUCAAUGUAUGGUACCAGAUUGUGUGUCUGAUUGUGUCAGAAUCGGAUUGUCUUACUGGUUUCUUAAAUUGGGAAGUAAUA